GACAGAGGGUGCAAACGUUGCUCGGAUUUACUGGGCGUAAAGCGCGCGCAGGCGGCCUUGUAAGUCUGUUGUUUCAGGCACAAGCUCAACUUGUGUUCGCAAUGGAAACUGCAAAGCUUGAGUGCAGAAGAGGAAAGUGGAAUUCCACGUGUAGCGGUGAAAUGCGUAGAGAUGUGGAGGAACACCAGUGGCGAAGGCGACUUUCUGGGCUGUAACUGACGCUGGAGGCGCGAAAAGCCGUGGGGGAGCAAACAGG
rnacentral:rRNA from 1 species